CAUCUCACAGGAUGCGCAUGUGGAACAGAAGGGGUGUUUUGCCCUAACACUGGAACAAGAGCAAGUUUUGAGGACCUGAAUAUAAGCUGUGGAAGCUGCCUCAAUGUAAGGAAAAGGAAAGAAGAAAAUCCCAACCAUUCAUAUUUCUAAAGGAGCAAAAAUGUCUUGGUGCAGCUUGCCUGGUGAUUGCAUUCAGUGGAGCAGUAUAGAGCGACACAACCCAGAUGUCUGCUAGAAAUCUUCUGCUGGAUGUUAUAGAUGCAUUUAGGAAUCUCCGGCAUAACAAGAUCUGACAGAGCACAACUACAGUCUCCCUGCCUCUCCUAGGUGCCCAUGCAGAUAUCCCCCACAAGCCUCCACAAAACAUCUGCUUGUGCCACUGUUUGGCAGCACAUAUU